AAGGACAAACGUAACCUGGGACAAAAUACGUUUCCCUUGAAACAUAAUUGAGAAUGCAGUUCAGUUGUAUGGGACCAAAGUUUUAGAAGACAGAGC